UACGGGGGGGGCAAGCGUUGUUCGGAAUUACUGGGCGUAAAGGGCUCGUAGGCGGCCAACUAAGUCAGACGUGAAAUCCCUCGGCUUAACCGGGGAACUGCCUCUGAUACUGGAUGGCUUGAGAUUGGGAGAGGGAUGCGGAAUUCCAGGUGUAGCGGUGAAAUGCGUAGAUAUCAGGAGGAACACCGGUGGCGAAGGCGGUUCUCUGGGCCUUACCUGACGCUGAGGAGCGAAAGCGUGGGGAGCAACCAGG
rnacentral:rRNA from 1 species